GAGUUUGAUCCUGGCUCAGGACGAACGCUGGCGGCGUGCUUAACACAUGCAAGUCGAACGGAAAGGCCCCGCUCGCGGGGUACUCGAGUGGCGAACGGGUGAGUAACACGUGGGUGAUCUGCCCUGCACUUCGGGAUAAGCCUGGGAAACUGGGUCUAAUACCGGAUAUGACCUCCCUUUAGUGUGGGGGGUGGAAAGAUUUAUCGGUGCAGGAUGAGCCCGCGGCCUAUCAGCUUGUUGGUGGGGUAAUGGCCUACCAAGGCGUCGACGGGUAGCCGGCCUGAGAGGGUGGACGGCCACAUUGGGACUGAGAUACGGCCCAGAUUCCUACGGGAGGCAGCAGUGGGGAAUAUUGCACAAUGGGCGGAAGCCUGAUGCAGCGACGCCGCGUGGGGGAUGACGGCCUUCGGGUUGUAAACCUCUUUCGACAGGGACGAAGUGAAAAUGACGGUACCUGUAUAAGAAGCACCGGCUAACUACGUGCCAGCAGCCGCGGUAAUACGUAGGGUGCGAGCGUUGUCCGGAAUUACUGGGCGUAAAGAGCUCGUAGGUGGUUUGUCACGUCGUCUGUGAAAUUCCGGGGCUUAACCUCGGGCGUGCAGGCGAUACGGGCAAUACUUGAGUGCUGUAGGGGAGACUGGAAUUCCUGGUGUAGCGGUGAAAUGCGCAGAUAUCAGGAGGAAACACCAAUGGCGAAGGCAGGUCUCUGGGCAGUUACUGACGCUGAGGAGCGAAAGCAUGGGUAGCGAACAGGAUUAGAUACCCUGGUAGUCCAUGCCGUAAACGGUGGGCGCUAGGUGUAGGGGACUUCCACGUUCUCUGUGCCGUAGCUAACGCAUUAAGCGCCCCGCCUGGGGAGUACGGCCGCAAGGCUAAAACUCAAAGGAAUUGACGGGGGCCCGCACAAGCGGCGGAGCAUGUGGAUUAAUUCGAUGCAACGCGAAGAACCUUACCUGGGCUUGACAUACACCGGACCGGCGUAGAGAUACGUCUUCCCUUGUGGCCGGUGUACAGGUGGUGCAUGGUUGUCGUCAGCUCGUGUCGUGAGAUGUUGGGUUAAGUCCCGCAACGAGCGCAACCCUUGUCUUAUGUUGCCAGCACGUGAUGGUGGGGACUCAUGAGAGACUGCCGGGGUCAACUCGGAGGAAGGUGGGGAUGACGUCAAAUCAUCAUGCCCCUUAUGUCCAGGGCUUCACACAUGCUACAAUGGUCGGUACAGCAGGUCGCGAACUCGUGAGAGUAAGCCAAUCCUUCAAAGCCGGCCUCAGUUCGGAUUGGGGUCUGCAACUCGACCCCAUGAAGUCGGAGUCGCUAGUAAUCGCAGAUCAGCAACGCUGCGGUGAAUACGUUCCCGGGCCUGUACACAC
rnacentral:rRNA from 1 species